GACGUAGGGCGCAAGCGUUGUCCGGAUUUAUUGGGCGUAAAGAGCUCGUAGGCGGCUCGUUGCGUCGGCUGUGAAAACCCGCAGCUCAACUGUAGGCUUGCAGCCGAUACGGGCGGGCUGGAGUUCGGAAGAGGCGAGUGGAAUUCCCGGUGUAGCGGUGAAAUGCGCAGAUAUCGGGAGGAACACCUAUGGCGAAGGCAGCUCGCUGGGACGUUACUGACGCUGAGACGCGAAAGCGUGGGGAGCAAACAGG
rnacentral:rRNA from 1 species